UUUUUUCUUUUUUUUCUUUUUUUGCCUUUUUGCCAUUUCUUGGGUUGCUCCCACGGCAUAUGGAGGUUCCCAGGCUAGAUGUCAAAUCGGAGCUGUAGCAGCCGGCCGAUACCACAGCCACAGCAAUGCGGGAUCCGAGCCGCAUCUGCGACCUACACCACAGCUCAUGGCAAAUCUGAAUCCUUAACCCACUGAGCAAGGCCAGGGAUCGAACCCGCAACCUCAUGGUUCCUAGUCGGAUUCGUUAACCACCAAGCCACGAUGGGAACUCCCUGCCUCCACUAUAUUCUUAUCCACAAUGCUCUAAACAGUAACAUCCCCCCCAAAAAAAACAAAAUAAAAUAAAAAAUAAACAGUAACAUCCUUCAAAAUUAUGCUCAAUGUUUUAGAUAGAUGGAUAGGGAUUGUGGAUGUACUUUAAAAAGACCCCAGCAAAGUCUGUGAAAGAUGCCUACAGUACCAAGAGCCCCAGGGACAGGUCUUUAGAGAUAAGAAUUACAUCUCUGUAGUCAUAGUCUUAUACAUACAUGCCUAUUACAUGCAUAUAUUUAUGUACAGAUUUAGAUAACCUAGAAGAUAGCAAAAUACCACACAAUUGCUUACCUACUAUGGCAAUCAUUAUUUACUUAUAUUGGCUAAUAAUAAGCAUGUUUAUGAUGAACUGAAAAAGAAAAGGUAUAAAGUAAAUGGCCUCCGAGCAAGAACAAAAGUCAAAAAUAUCUCAGAAUUUAAAGUUCAAAAGCCAAAUUCUCAGUUUAAAAAGGCUGGAAUUCCCAUCAUGGCUCAGUAUGGUUAACGAAUCCGACUAGGAACCAUGAGGUUGCGGGUUCGAUCCCUGGCCUUGAUUAGUGGGUUAAGGAUUCAGUGUUGCCGUGAGCUGUGGCGUAGGUUGCAGACGUGGCUCGGAUCCCGUGUUUGCUGUGGCUCUGGCAUAGGCCGGUGGCUACAGCUCCAAUUUGACCCCUAGCCUGGGAACCUCCAUAUACCACAGAAGCAGCCCAAGAAAAAGACAAAAAAAAAGGAAAAAAAAAACCCUGCAGAACGCACAAUACCAAGAGUGACCAUGUUGCAAAUGACAGACUUUGGGUAAUUAUGAUGUAUCUAUGUAAGAUCCCCAAUUGUAACAAAUGUAUCACAUUAACAUAAAAUGUCAAUAGAAGGGGAUAUUGGGAGGGAGAGGGCAGGAGAAGGUGGUACAUGGGAACUGAACUUGAACUUGCUGUAAACUUGAGACUGAAAGAACAGUUUCUAUUAAAUUCUAUCCAUUUUUUUUAAAAAAAGAAAGAAAAGCCUAUUCUAUUCCUGUCUGUCAGAGCCAAAGGUGCCUGGGAAGAGGUGCAAUAAACAGCUCGUGCUAAAGCUUAAAACAACAAUGUCCUUGGAUCAAGCUCAGAAAGAAAACAGCUUAUAAUUAAAAUAAAAUGUCAAAAAACACAAAUCGAGUUCCAUGGUAGACAAACUGAAAGCAGAAACAAAGGUAGCAAAAUCAGUAUUAGGGAAUAAAAGAAAAUUUCUGGGGAGGCCAGUUGGGAUGCUAUAACUUCCAAUUAACUAUCGAAAGGAAAAUUGUGCACUUGAAAAAGCAACUAUUUCUGAAGAGGAACAAAGGAAAUGUAAGCAAUUGCACAUUGCACAUGUUGAGAAAUACAAUAUAAAAGCAUCAUUUGAUGGGUUCAGAGCAAAAACACAAUUUGCUACACAAGGCAAGGAAUACCUCAAACUUCAUGAAUGUAGGAAUUACAUACCACACAUCAUUUAUAUCUGAUGAAAAUCAAACACCGUUUAAUAUUUAUUAAGGUAUUUUGCAUAUUUUCUUAUUUUAUAGUAACAAACCAAUUCUUCCCCUUUCUCCUUUGUUUCUUGGCCACCUCGUGGCAUAUGGAAUUCCCAGGCCAGGGAUCAGAUCUGAACUGCAGUUGCAACCUACUGCUAGAUCCUUAACCCACUGUGCCAGGCCAGGAAGCCAACCUGUGUUCCAGCACUGCAGAGAUGCCGCCAAUCCCAUUGCACCUCAGCAAGAACUCCUUAACAAACCAAUUCUUAUUUCAAGUGAUACGCUGCCAAAUAACUGUCUUUGGGAGGCGGGGGAAGUGUCCGGAUUUGUAGCAAUACUUAUUUCCAUCAUGGCUGACUUCAAUCCAUCUAUAAUGUAACAACCAGCUGGUAAAAUUCCUGCCAGACACUAGAUCCAAAACACCACUUCAAGUAAUUGUUCAUUUACAACAAGGAAACUGGCUUCUAAUUAAAGUCAAUUGUCAGAUGUGAAUGGAAUGUGAACUCAGGUCCUCAGUUUUUAAGAACUUUCAGAUCAAUGGCUUUAUUUCCUCCAUAACAGACAGAUUUUGAUAUAUUUGGGUUUUUUCCUCCUUAAAAGUCCGUAUUAUUAACAUACUAUUUGCUUGGAAUAACUAUUUCCCAAAUGAAAUAUUUUGGUUGUAUCUUCAAAUUCAUUUACACAAAAUGGGCUAACAAGAAAAGGCUUCACCAUUUUGAUCAGACAUAGAUUUAUCUAUAUUUUCUUUUAACUCUUUUUUACCUAGUUUUAUUUAGUCCAUUUACCAUCUGUCCAGGAGUUGCCAUUGUGGCUCAGUGGGUUAAGAACCCAACAUAGAGUUUGUGAGGAUGUGGGUUCAAUCCCUGGCCUUGCUCAGUGGGUUAAGGAUCUGAUGUUGCUGUGGCUGUGGUGCAGGCCUGCAGCUGCAGGUCCUAUUCGACCCAUAGAGCCCAGCAACUUCCCUAUGCCACAGAUGUGGCCAUAAAAACAUAAAUAAAUAAACAAGUAAAUAUCUCCAGUUGGAAUAUGGGGUGUUAUACAAUAAAGAUUUUAUAAUUUUUCCUCAAUUCUGAAUCAAUUCUUCUUGGUAUCUUUACUAAAAUUUAGUCAUUGGCCUUGUUUACUAUCAUAAACUAAAUUCAUAUUCAUAUUUGAAUAUGUUUUCUAUGCUACUCAUUAAUAAUCAUUUUUGUAUCAAUAUCAUUUUUUAAUUAUUGUAGCUUUAUAAUAGAUUUUCUUAUCUGUUGGUACAAAUACUCCUGGGUUUACUCAUUAUCUUCAGUAAUUUCUCAUCUACUGUCAUUCACUUAUACUUCCAAGACUAUUCACACCCUCACAAAAUAAUUAGAAAACUGACAUCUUAAUUAAAACUUCUUAAUCUAGAACCUAGCAUAUCCUCACUAAUUUGUCUUCUUUCAGGUACCCAAAGAAAAAUGUACACUUUCCUUUAUAAGGGAAUCUAUCCAAUUCUUAUUCAUUCUAUUUCUAAAUACUUUUAAGUUUCUAUCCUGUGUGAAUGUAAUCAUUUUCCUCACUACCCAGUCCAACUUAUUUCCUUCUGGAUGAAUUUCAAUGGGUAGAAAAAUUAAGACUUUUGCUUGUUCUUUGGACAGCUGUUCCUAAAAUGUUUAUUUAUUCUAGUCUAAAUUGUUCCCAUUGAAAACAAUUUCUAAACAUAGAAGUCUUAUGACAUCUUUGGCACAUUUCCAAUGUUUUUUUUACUUGAAAUCUACUACAGAAAUAUUGCUUAUUAUAAAGUUAAAGACAAAUGACCUAUCAAGUAAAAUACUCCAUCAUUCACUCAGCCAGAGUCUCCCUGCGGUUAUCAUUUUCCUGUGCUCUUUUGAACACACAGAAGCUCAGCUAAGAAACUAUUCUAAGAAUUUAGAAAUAAUGUGGUAUUUCAAAAAUGGGCAGGAACCCAGGAGUCAGAAGAUAAGCGUCUUAGGACUUGAUUUGGCUACUUAGCAUCAUUAUACUCUUGGUCAAAUUAGUGAACCUCUCCAAGCUUUGCUUCUGCUCCAGAAAAUGAACAAGCUAUAGCUCAACCAUGGGUAUGGUAUACGAAGCAUCAGAAAGGUUGUUUUCAUUUCUCUUCUUCAUUCUUCUGCCCAUAAAAAUAUUCACUGCCAAUGAAAAACCUAUGGUGGCAAGCUUUUCUUCUCUGGCCAGACGUGAGCCUGGGUAUUAGCUCAGAAUCGCCCUAAAGUGAAAAUAUGACCACCAGAAUCCUCCAGCAAACACCCCCAGCUGUUUUAUCCAGCAAAUACACCUAGAUCCAGGACCCGGUGGAGGUAAACAACCACAUAUGGUUGUGUAGCCAUUUUUCUUUGACUUCUAAGACAGCCAGCAGAAUCUAAGUGGGCUGAGCCCUCUCUACCCCUGAGGCUAAGGUGACGUCAGAAGCCCAAGAGCAAAAGGAUUUCCUAUUAAUAUCUUAACUGUUUACUAAGGAGGAGAGGCUCACAGAGGCUGAGCCUGCUUUCCCUUCUAUUACUCUUGGGAUUACACUUCAAAACUUAAGCUGUAUGGCCCACACUUAAUUAGCUGGCCAAUGAAUAUAGCUGCAUACCUACUGGUCCCAGCAGCCAGAGACAAAGGAAAUAAAAAUUUACCAAAUACCAAGAGCAAAUAUCAUUAUAAGUUUCAAAAUACCAAACUUAGUUCAAUUAAAAUAAAAACUAAACAGGGAGUUUCCCUGGUGGUCUAGCGGUUAGGACUCAGUGCUUUCAUGACCAGGGUCUGAGUUCAAUACCUCAUUUGGAAACUGAAAUCCCACAUCAAGCCACUGCACACUGUGGCAAGAAAGGAAGGGAGGGAGGGAGGAAGGGAGGAAGGAAAAAAGGAAAGAAGGAAGGAACUAGAGAUUGAUUCUUGCCUUAUCAUUCAACACCAUCCUGAAGGUUAUGGGAUAAUAUAAGUAAAUGCAGUAAUUCAAGAAAUACAAAUUAUUGUUACAAGUACUGGAAAUAAGACAUGAAAUUUCCUUUCUUUUUUUUUUUUUGGCUGUGCCCAUAGCAUGGAGGGCCAAGUAUCAAACCCACACCACAGCGGUAACCAGAACCACAGCAGUGACAAUGCCAGACCUUUAACCCACUGAGCCACCAGUGACCUCCUGAAAUUUCUUUGUUAGCUAGCAAUUAGCCUGUAGAAAUGAAAAUGAGUAAAAACCUAUUCACAAAUAUAAAAUAGAUAGGAAUAACUUUAUUUUAAAAGUAUUAGGAUGUAUAUAGGGAAACUGUAAGAACUUCUUAAAGGACGUAAAGCGAAGAUAUGAAUGAAGGGAAGGACAUACUUGUAGAUAAAAGCACUUGUUAUUAUGUGUCAGUUCUCACAAAAUUAAUAUAUUAAUCCGUAUAAUUUCAAUUAAAUUUAAAUACUAUUUCGUUUGGGUUGUACUGGAUAAAAUUAUCUUAGUAUAUACCUGGAGGAAUAAAUACCAAAGAACUGCUAAAAAAUUUAUUUUAGAAGAAUACAUAGUACAGGAGUUCCCAUCGUGGCUCAGUGGUUAACAAAUCCGACUAGGAACCAUGAGGUUGCGGGUUUGAUCCCUGGCCUCGCUCAGUGGGUUAAGGAUAUGGCGUUGCUGUGGCUGUGGUGUAGGUUAGCAGCUGCAGUUCUGAUUCGACCCCUAACCUGGGAACUUCCAUAUGCCAGGGGUGCGGCCCUAGAAAAGACAAAAAGACCAAAAAGAAAAAAAAAAAAAAAAAAACAUGGUACAACCACUACGGAAAAAGUAUGGCGGUACUUCAGAAAACUAAAUAUAUAACUACCAUCUGAUCCAGCAAUCCCACUCCUGGGCAUCUAUCUGGAAAAAACUUUCAUUCAAAAAGAUACAGGCUGAAUAUCAACUAUAAUAGAGAAAAUAAAAAUCUUAAAAAAGGAGUUCCUGUCGGGGCACAGUGGAAAUGAAUCUGACUAGGAACCAUGAGGUUGUGGGUU
rnacentral:lncRNA from 1 species